rnacentral:ncRNA from 1 species
UCGGGAGCCAAUGCGGAAUCUGAAAGAAGCUCUAGCCGAACCGGUCACCUAAACGAGAGUGAACCUUCGUAAGGCGGCAGCAAGAGGAUGAGGUGCCCGCGCCCACCGAAGUCCGAUAUUCUCACCGUAACUUGCUGGUGUAUUGAAGGUAGGUGGACCGAGAUAAAGUUGACUAU